rnacentral:rRNA from 1 species
UAAGCAUAUCAAUAAGCGGAGGAAAAGAAACUAACAAGGAUUCCCCUAGUAACUGCGAGUGAAGCGGGAAAAGCUCAAAUUUAAAAUCUGGCGGUCUUUUGGCUGUCCGAGUUGUAAUCUAGAGAAGUGUUAUCCGCGCUGGACCGUGUACAAGUCUCCUGGAAUGGAGCAUCAUAGAGGGUGAGAAUCCCGUCUUUGACAUGGGCUGCCAGGGCUUUGUGAUGCGCUCUCAAAGAGUCGAGUUGUUUGGGAAUGCAGCUCAAAAUGGGUGGUAAAUUCCAUCUAAAGCUAAAUAUUGGCGAGAGACCGAUAGCGAACAAGUACCGUGAGGGAAAGAUGAAAAGAACUUUGGAAAGAGAGUUAAACAGUACGUGAAAUUGCUGAAAGGGAAACGCUUGAAGUCAGUCGCGUCGUCCAGGGAUCAACCUUGCUUUUGCUUGGUGCACUUUCUGGUUUGACGGGUCAGCAUCAAUUUUGACUAUUGGAAAAAGGUCAAGGGAAUGUGGCAUCUUUGGAUGUGUUUAUAGCCCUUGGUCACAUACAAUGGUUGGGAUUGAGGAACUCAGCACGCCGCAAGGCCGGGUGUUAAACCACGUACGUGCUUAGGAUGCUGGCAAUAUGGCUUUAAUCGACCCGUCUUGAAACACGGACCAAGGAGUCUAACAUGCCUGCGAGUGUUUGGGUGGAAAACCCGAGCGCGUAAUGAAAGUGAAAAGUUGAGAUCCCUGUCGUGGGGAGCAUCGACGCCCGGACCAGACCUUUUGUGACGGUUCCGCGGUAGAGCAUGUAUGUUGGGACCCGAAAGAUGGUGAACUAUGCCUGAAUAGGGUGAAUCCAGAGGAAACUCUGGUGGAGGCUCGUAGCGAUUCUGACGUGCAAAUCGAUCGUCAAAUUUGGGUAUAGGGGCGAAAGACUAAUCGAACCAUCUAGUAGCUGGUUCCUGCCGAAGUUUCCUUCAGGAA